rnacentral:tRNA from 1 species
UCUAAUAUGGCAGAGUAGUGCAAUGGACUUAAACCCCAUACAUAAAGUCAACCUUUUUUUAGAA